UCAUUUACGAAGUACAUCGUAAGCUGCGAUUUCGACAAGACAAUUGCUGCGCAAGAAUCCGAGAAACCGAACUACAUUAACGCAAACUUCUCAGAAGCACUCAACAUCAUAAAUUUCGAUGUGGACGUACCAUACACGUAGAAGACGAGUUUACUCUCUGCAUUCACUCGUUUCCAGGGCUCCCGUAAUUAGCAAAAUCUGUUUCCUCAAAUAAACGAAUACUCCUGUUUCAAUAAAGUAUUAUCGCCGUUA
rnacentral:lncRNA from 1 species